rnacentral:rRNA from 1 species
UACGUAGGGGGCUAGCGUUGUCCGGAAUCAUUGGGCGUAAAGAGCGUGUAGGCGGCUCGGUAAGUCCGCUGUGAAAGUCGGGGGCUCAACCCUCGAAUGCCGGUGGAUACUGUCGAGCUAGAGUGCGGAAGAGGCGAGUGGAAUUCCUGGUGUAGCGGUGAAAUGCGCAGAUAUCAGGAGGAACACCGAUUGCGAAGGCGGCUCGCUGGGACGUUACUGACGCUGAGACGCGAAAGCGUGGGGAGCAAACAGG